rnacentral:rRNA from 1 species
GAGUUUGAUCCUGGCUCAGAUUGAACGCUGGCGGCAUGCUUUACACAUGCAAGUCGAACGGCAGCGCGGGGGCAACCCUGGCGGCGAGUGGCGAACGGGUGAGUAAUGCAUCGGAACGUAUCCUGUAAUGGGGGAUAACGUAGCGAAAGUUACGCUAAUACCGCAUACGCUCGAGAGAGGAAAGUGGGGAUCGCAAGACCUCACGUUAUAGGAGCGGCCGAUGUCCGAUUAGCUAGUGGUGGGGUAAAGGCCUACCAAGGCGACGAUCGGUAGCUGGUCUGAGAGGAUGAUCAGCCACACUGGGACUGAGACACGGCCCAGACUCCUACGGGAGGCAGCAGUGGGGAAUUUUGGACAAUGGGCGAAAGCCUGAUCCAGCCAUGCCGCGUGCGGGAAGAAGGCCUUCGGGUUGUAAACCGCUUUAGUCCGGGAAAAAGGGGUGCGAGGAUAAUACCCUCGUGCUUUGAUGGUACUGGAAGAAUAAGCACCGGCUAACUACGUG